rnacentral:rRNA from 1 species
UACCAGCACCCCGAGUGGUCGGGACGUUUAUUGGGCCUAAAGCAUCCGUAGCCGGUUCUACAAGUCUUCCGUUAAAUCCACCUGCUUAACAGAUGGGCUGCGGAAGAUACUAUAGAGCUAGGAGGCGGGAGAGGCAAGCGGUACUCAGUGGGUAGGGGUAAAAUCCGUUGAUUCAUUGAAGACCACCAGUGGCGAAGGCGGCUUGCCAGAAUGCGCUCGACGGUGAGGGAUGAAAGCUGGGGGAGCAACCGG